AUAGGACGACCUUGAUCAAAGUUUUAAAUUGACGCCAUUUAACAUCGAAAUGUCAACAUUGCGAGAUGAUAAGUAAACAUUAGUAAAUGCCAUCCAUGUGACAUUUUAACAUUAUGAUUAUUGGCGCUGAAGACGUUUUAUUUUCUUGUUCUAACCACUGAGCACAGUGCUUAGUAAUGUUCUUUGAUGUCAAGUAAUGUAUUAAAAAUAACAACUAUUGAAUACUAAAUAUAAUAGACAAUUAAUUGUGAAGCAAGUGUUCUAAGUGUUCAAGUAAAUCACACUAAAGAACUAGGAUCAGUGUAAAGGAUCACCAAAGGAUCUACAUGAAAGGACAUCAAUUAAGCAUCAUUAAACAUCAGAAUGGAACAAAAUGUUGGAUUUCCAAAGAAAGAAAAAAAUAUACUUCUUAACCAAGUGUUCAAAUUAAAAUUUAGCAAUAGUGUUGGAGAAGAUUGGAAAACUCUUGGACGUUGGUUAAAUAUUAACGAUAGCUAUUUAGGCAUGAUUGAUCAAGAUAAUACUAAAACUGUUGAGAAAGCUUAUAAUAUGUUAUCUAAAUGGAUGGAAAUGAAUAAAAAUCCAACACUUGAAGAGUUAAAAACGUCUUUAAAGAACAUGGAGAGAUUUGAUCUAAUAAGAAAAUUAGAGGAAUUAGCAACUUGGGCAGUUGUUGAUGUAACAAAAAUUACAACAAUAACUACAAAAAAUUCAACUGCAAGAACUACAAUGACAACAAUAUCAGCAGCAACAAUGUAAGCAGUAACAGGAGCAUUCAAGUGUGUACACAACUGGGUAAGAAAUUAUAAGAAGAGGAGGUUUGUUUUUUGUGUGCAGUGUAGUGCAGUGGAUGAUCUAAGGCUCUAAUUUUGAGGCACAGCUGUCUAAGUAGCAGUUUAUUUAGGUAGUUGUAGUCAAGUGCGCGUAUACCAACUGACUUAAAUAAUAAGAAGGAAAUAAUAAUUAAAAAAUUGCUGGACAAAAAAUACUUCAACAGCUUUAAAAAAAAGUAAUUAAACAGUGAUGUCAUAUACUGAAACGGUUAAGAACACGCAUGAAAUAAAUUAUCUAGUCUGCAGAUUGUGGCAUAUAUUUCAAAGACUCCAAGAAUCAAAAAAAAUGAAGAAGG